rnacentral:rRNA from 1 species
UAAGGUCACGGCGAGACGAGCCGUUUAUCAUUAUAAUAGGUGCCAAGUGUAAGUGCAGUGAUGUAUGCAGCUAAGGCAUCCUAACAGACCGAUAGAUUUGAAC